AGUCAUCAACCCCUCCCGUUUUGUGCGGAGAGGACGGUUGGAUCUGGGGGCCUGCUGCCGUCAAGGUGGCUCCCCUCAAAUGCGUCGGUUGGGCCUGUGGGUCGAACUCGGUUGGGCGUUGUACAAUCCUCGCUCUGGUCUGAGAUGUUCCCCUUCUGUUGAGCCCUCCCACAGACCGCCCCUUCUGGAGUGGCGGUCAAGCUGAACUUUGAA
rnacentral:misc_RNA from 1 species